rnacentral:rRNA from 1 species
AACGUAGGUGGCGAGCGUUAUCCGGAUUUACUGGGCGUAAAGGGUGUGCAGGCGGGCUGUUAAGUGGUGCAUGAAAUCUCCGCGCUUAACGUGGAGAGGCUGUGCCAGACUGGCAGUCUAGAGUACGAGAGAGGGUUGUGGAAUUCCGGGUGUAGUGGUGAAAUGCGUAGAGAUCCGGAGGAACACCAGAGGCGAAGGCGGCUCUCUGGGCCUUACCUGACGUGAGACGCGAAAGCGUGGGGAGCGAACCGG